rnacentral:rRNA from 1 species
GCUUAACACAUGCAAGUCGAGCGGUAAGGCCCUUCGGGGUACACGAGCGGCGAACGGGUGAGUAACACGUGGGUGAUCUGCCUCGYACUCUGGGAUAAGCCUGGGAAACUGGGUCUAAUACCGGAUAUGACCACGRAUCGCAUGGUUUGUGGUGGAAAGAUUUAUCGGUGCGAGAUGGGCCCGCGGCCUAUCAGCUUGUUGGUGGGGUAAUGGCCUACCAAGGCGACGACGGGUAGCCGACCUGAGAGGGUGACCGGCCACACUGGGACUGAGACACGGCCCAGACUCCUACGGGAGGCAGCAGUGGGGAAUAUUGCACAAUGGGCGAAAGCCUGAUGCAGCGACGCCGCGUGAGGGAUGACGGCCUUCGGGUUGUAAACCUCUUUCGACAGGGACGAAGCGCAAGUGACGGUACCUGUAGAAGAAGCACCGGCCAACUACGUGCCAGCAGCCGCGGUAAUACGUAGGGUGCGAGCGUUGUCCGGAAUUACUGGGCGUAAAGAGCUUGUAGGCGGUUCGUCGCGUCGAUUGUGAAAACUUGCAGCUCAACUGCAAGCUUGCAGUCGAUACGGGCGGACUAGAGUACUUCAGGGGAGACUGGAAUUC